rnacentral:rRNA from 1 species
CCUACGGGAGGCAGCAGUGGGGGAUAUUGCACAAUGGGGGAAACCCUGAUGCAGCGACGCCGCGUGUGGGAAGACGGUCCUCUGGAUUGUAAACCACUGUCCCCAGGGACGAAGAUGACGGUACCUGGGGAGGAAGCUCCGGCUAACUACGUGCCAGCAGUCGCGGUAAUACGUAGGGAGCGAGCGUUGUCCGGAAUUACUGGGUGUAAAGGGAGCGUAGGGGGGGAUGAAAGUGGGGGGUAAAGACUACCGGCUAACCUGGUAGUCGCACUCAAAACUGCAGCUCUUGAGUGAAGUAGAGGCAGGCGGAAUUCCUAGUGUAGCGGUGAAAUGCGUAGAUAUUAGGAGGAACACCAGUGGCGAAGGCGGCCUGCUGGGCUUUUACUGACGCUGAGGCUCGAAAGUGUGGGGAGCAAACAGGAUUAGAUACCCGGGUAGUC